UAUUUAUUUAAAUUUUUAGGCUUUAUUAGUAUUAGUUAUGUUCUUGAAAUUUAAAGUAUUUGGCGGUAUUAUAGUCUUUUUAGAGGAAUCUGUUCUAUAAUUGAUAAUACACAUUGAACCUUACUUAUUUUAAUUAAUUUGUAUAUCGUUGUUGUUAAUAAUUUUUUUAGAAUUUAAUUAUUAUUUUUUGAUUAAAAUUUAUUUCAGAUCAAGGUGCAGUUUUAUAGAUAAGUAGAAAUGGAUUACAAUAUAUUUUAUAUAUUUUAUGGAUUAAUUAAUUAAUAAAUUGGUUAUGAAGGUGGAUUUGAUAGUAAUUUUUUGUAGAUUGUAAAUUUGGAUUAAGCUCUAUAAUGUGC
rnacentral:rRNA from 1 species